rnacentral:rRNA from 1 species
UACAGAGGGGGCAAGCGUUGUUCGGAAUUACUGGGCGUAAAGGGCGCGUAGGCGGCCCGCUAAGUCGAACGUGAAAUCCCCAGGCUCAACCUGGGAACUGCGUCCGAUACUGGCAGGCUUGAAUCCGGGAGAGGGAUGUGGAAUUCCAGGUGUAGCGGUGAAAUGCGUAGAUAUCUGGAGGAAUACCGGUGGCGAAGGCGG